rnacentral:tRNA from 1 species
GGGCGACGUCGCCAAGUGGUAAGGCACGGCUCUGCAAAAGCUGCACCAGCGGUUCGAAUCCGCUCGUCGCCUCCC